AAGUCCCUCCAGUGCCACAUCUGGAGAGUAAGGUGGACGAGGACUGCCCCGAUGCAUGUAUGAACCUGCAUCUGUUGGGUGGCGCUCGGCAGCAGGAUCCGCAGUAUUCUUGAUCAUCGUGCCUCAUAAAGACAGGAGAGAGGACUUCCACAAGUGCUUCAGAAGGCGGCAGGAGUGAUGGGAUGAGUAUGCGCAAAGUGACCGGAGGAUUUGGAAGGAGAUAUUUUGAAAACACGUAAACACAUACUGUGUUUUGUGAUCAGCCCUUGACACCUCGCCUUGGUUCAAGCUCUCUCCGUGCGAGGAGGCAGCGUGUUGCGAGGUGGCUGGGCAGGAGGCUUAGGCAGCGGUUCAGCCUCCCCACAGACGGCUCCAGAUGUAUGUGCACUAACACGAUUGGGAAAGCCCUUGAAUAUUUUAGUGCAUCUUGCUAUAAACUGAUGUGAGUGAAGCAGUGAAGGAACCGACAGGUGUGGUGUUGUAGUCAGGGUUGGGAAGGGAAAAGAUUUAAUGAUACAGGACACAUUUAUAGGAUGUUUUGUAAUAUUUACCUCAAGAGGCAAAUGCAAAACAGUGCAGGAAACCUGUCCACAUACCAGAGACUGAAGAAUCCAGCCGAGGGCCUGGAUCACACGGCAGUGUCCUCCAUGAGUCCAGCUGAAGACCCAGAGCCCAUGGCAGUGUCCUCUACCAGUCCAGCUGGAGGUCUGGAGCCCAUGGCAGUGUCUCAUGCGAGUCUGUAUCAAGGAUCUGCCCUGGGAAGGCCCAAAGUUCGGUGGUGGAGCUAGAGAAUCUGCGCCAGUGGGAUGGAGGAUCUGUGCUGGCAGGCUGUGGGAUCUGCACUGGAGCCAGGAAGCGAUGCUCAAGGAUGGCUACAGCCAGGAAGACCACAGUGGCAAGUGUUGAUGAGGUGUGGAGAGAUCGGAAUUACAGGCAUGGAUGGUAGAAUGCGACAUGUUCUGGGAAUUGGACCCAGGGUCUGUUGCGUGCUAGGUAAGUGCUCUGGGACUGUCCCCCUUUGUCUCUUUCAUGUGUCUCAAGUCUCCCAGCGCUUUUAU